AACGAACGCUGGCGGCAGGCUUAACACAUGCAAGUCGAACGCCCCGCAAGGGAAGUGGCAGACGGGUGAGUAACGCGUGGGAAUCUACCCAUCUCUGCGGAAUAGCUCCGGGAAACUGGAAUUAAUACCGCAUACGCCCUACGGGGGAAAGAUUUAUCGGGGAUGGAUGAGCCCGCGUUGGAUUAGCUAGUUGGUGGGGUAAAGGCCUACCAAGGCGACGAUCCAUAGCUGGUCUGAGAGGAUGAUCAGCCACAUUGGGACUGAGCCACGGCCCAAACUCCUACGGGAGGCGGCAGUGGGGAAUAGUGGACAAUGGGCGCAAGCCUGAUCCAGCCAUGCCGCGUGAGUGAUGAAGGCCUUAGGGUUGUAAAGCUCUUUCACCGGUGAAGAUAUGACGGUAACCGGAGAAGAAGCCCCGGCUAACUUCGUGCCAGCCGCCGCGGUAA
rnacentral:rRNA from 1 species